rnacentral:rRNA from 1 species
GCUUACGGCCAUACCACCCUGAGAACGCCCGAUCUCGUCUGAUCUCGGAAGCUGAGCAGGGUCGGGCAUGGUUAGUACUUGGAUGGGAGACCGCCUGGGAAUACCAGGUGCUGUAAGCU